GGGAAGUUUUUGUCUUGGCUCCCUCCAUCUAGGUUACUCUCGAUUUAGGACUGAAAACACCUAACUGGACUUCAGAGUCAAUCAUCCAGUGAGUUUCGGGAGACCUCAAUCUCAGAUGCUGGCAGCUUCUGAGAUUUGGAGUCUUACAUGACAACUCAGCUGAUCAGGAACUUGACUUUCUCUGUAUCUCUACAACCGACCUCACUGUGCACACGAGCUCCCAUAUCAACAGAUGGAGGAAAUGGCCAAAUCUUGCUGCUUCUUCAAGGAAGUGUGCUAAGUUUCAUCUACCUUCUCUAAGCUCUGGGAGCUGGAGCUGGAGUUUGACUCUCUGAGACUACUCUUCUAUUUGACACGCAGCCACACUGAACUGAUUGUAGUGAAGAGGGGCCAUUGAAUGAAGGAUGCUCCAUGUAGAAGCUCAGGAUAAUAAGUGUGUAUGGUACAAGA